rnacentral:rRNA from 1 species
UACGAAGGGGGCUAGCGUUGUUCGGAAUUACUGGGCGUAAAGCGCGCGCAGGCGGUUCUUCAAGUCAGUGGUGAAAGCCCGGAGCUCAACUCCGGAAUUGCCUUUAAGACUGCAUCGCUAGAAUCAUGGAGAGGUGAGUGGAAUUCCGAGUGUAGAGGUGAAAUUCGUAGGUAUUCGGAAGAACACCAGUGGCGAAGGCGACUCACUGGACAUGUAUUGACGCUGAGGUGCGAAAGCGUGGGGAGCAAACAGG